CACGUAGGGCGCAAGCGUUGUCCGGAAUUAUUGGGCGUAAAGAGCGCGCAGGCGGUCGUACAAGUCGCGUGUGAAAGCCCCUGGCUCAACUGGGGAGGGUCACGCGAUACUGUUCGACUCGAAGGCAGGAGAGGGAAGUGGAAUUCCCGGUGUAGUGGUGAAAUGCGUAGAUAUCGGGAGGAACACCAGUGGCGAAGGCGACUUCCUGGCCUGUUCUUGACGCUGAGGCGCGAAAGCUAGGGUAGCAAACGGG
rnacentral:rRNA from 1 species